CCUACGGGUGGCAGCAGUCGAGAAUCAUUCACAAUGGGGGAAACCCUGAUGGUGCGACGCCGCGUGGGGGAAUGAAGGUCUUCGGAUUGUAAACCCCUGUCAUGUGGGAGCAAAUUAAAAAGAUAGUACCACAAGAGGAAGAGACGGCUAACUCUGUGCCAGCAGCCGCGGUAAUACAGAGGUCUCAAGCGUUGUUCGGAAUCACGGGGCGUAAGGCGUGCGUAGGCUGUUUCGUAAGUCGUGUGUGAAAGGCGCGGGCUCAACCCGCGGACGGCACAUGAUACUGCGAGACUAGAGUAAUGGAGGGGGGACCGGAAUUCUCGGUGUAGCAGUGAAAUGCGUAGAUAUCGAGAGGAACACUCGUGGCGAAGGCGGGUUCCUGGACAUUAACUGACGCUGAGGCACGAAGGCGAGGGGAGCGAAAGGGAUUAGAUACCCGAGUAGUC
rnacentral:rRNA from 1 species